AUUGAACGCUGGCGGCAGGCCUAACACAUGCAAGUCGAACGGUAACAGGAAACAGCUUGCUGUUUCGCUGACGAGUGGCGGACGGGUGAGUAAUGUCUGGGAAACUGCCUGAUGGAGGGGGAUAACUACUGGAAACGGUAGCUAAUACCGCAUAACGUCGCAAGACCAAAGAGGGGGACCUUCGGGCCUCUUGCCAUCAGAUGUGCCCAGAUGGGAUUAGCUAGUAGGUGGGGUGACGGCUCACCUAGGCGACGAUCCCUAGCUGGUCUGAGAGGAUGACCAGCCACACUGGAACUGAGACACGGUCCAGACUCCUACGGGAGGCAGCAGUGGGGAAUAUUGCACAAUGGGCGCAAGCCUGAUGCAGCCAUGCCGCGUGUAUGAAGAAGGCCUUCGGGUUGUAAAGUACUUUAAGCGGGGAGGAAGGGAGUAAAGUUAAUACCUUUGCUCAUUGACGUUACCCGCAGAAGAAGCACCGGCUAACUCCGUG
rnacentral:rRNA from 1 species